rnacentral:lncRNA from 1 species
GUAACAUUAUUGUUUAGUGACGUCUCCAAGAACGGUAGAAAGUCAUCACGGCCAAGACUGGGAAGAGAAAUGCACCAGGACCAGCCCAAACCCAUCCCCGCUACUGAGUUAAUAUUUUACCAAGCUGAUUAAAUCUUCAAAUGAUACUAGAGACAGGUCUCAUCUUCUCUGCAAGGAAAAAAAAAAUAAUCUUGCCAUAACCAGAAACUUCUGAGAGCACUGCACAAUGCCACGUCAAAUUUUUCCAACCUGUGCCAUUGAAACUGUGCUGGUUACUCCAAUGCAAGUCAUGGAAGAUGCGAAGAUGCUUCAAAUUCACUCAAUAAGAGGGACCCGACAUCUUGAGAGGGGCUUCUGGAAGGAGAGGCCGAGCAUGUAGGGUGUGUUGCUUGAGUCAGGUAAGAGAAACAGCCUGGUCUUUGGAAACAGCAGAUCGGGGUAGUGAUAAUAUUAAACAUCAUAACACUCAUUCCCAGAUAUACCACUUACUAGCCAUGUGAUCUUGAACUACCUGUUUAACUUAGCCGAGCCUCAAAUCCCUCAUUUGUAACACUGGUCACACUGCUACCUCCCUGUAGGAUUGUUCCAAGGAUAAGACAGAACCUCACACACAUUAGAUGCUCAAGAUGUGCCUCUUCCUUCUCCUUCUGCCCUACUGGAAAAGUCAUGGACACUCAGCCCUUCCAUUCUUACAGCAAGGAUCCUCUACUGGGCGAGGGGCUGGUUGGGGUACAGCAGAGGUCCUUAGUGACAGAAAGAAACAUGUUAAGGAAUUGCUGCACACCCUCUGCCCCUUCUGUCCCUGCAGAGGGUCACUUAAACCUCACACUUCUGG